CCGGGGCAUCGCAAGACGGUCGGCAGCACGGUGCUGCGCCUCCCCAGGAAGUUCCAGCACUAGCCAGAAAGCCAACACCCGCCAGAGCAAGCGCAAGAGAAGCAAGAGCUCCAUCCCGGUCAGGAACUGAAGCUCUUGACACGGCACCGCGCCUGCCUUACUUAAAAUUCUGUAUAGGUUCCUCUGCAGAAGCGUACCUGGAAAGGGAGCUAGAAGAGAAGCUCUUCUCUGCAUUUCUUAAAAGAAUACUCGGACAGUAUUUUUAUUUUAUAUGUGCAUGUACAAAAAAAAAAUUUUGUGUGUGGCAAUGAACGUUUUAUUAUAAUAGACUGUGUUUUGCGUUUAAUUUCAUUUUGAGGCUAGCGUCUCUUGUGUUACUCGAUGAAGCGCACUACAAUUUAACGCGCAAUGUGUGAAAUGUUGUUCAAGUCCUGAACAUAUUUUUAUUUUAUGUGU